AUUUAACCAGGGGGAGCAGCUGUUCCUUGUUGGAGAGCCAAGAUCUUGCCCAGUCCCCAACCGAGAGCUUGUCAUAUAACAUAGCCCCAUAAUGGAGAUAAUAAUGCCUGUCCUUCUUUAGAAAUUACUUUGAGAUCUGCCAAAGAAAAAGGCCUAUUCAAAUGCAAAGCCUGAUGCUUUUAUUUAUUAAUAGAUAUUAUGCCAGAGUCACCAAUCUGCUCCUGGUGCCUUGUGUGGCUUUAAAAACAGAGGAUCUGCUUGCUUGAUUGAGCCCAGCUGGUGAGCUGAGGCCUAGGGCUGUUUUGUGAUAUUGGAAGGAGAAGGAAACAGCCAGAUGUUAACCAGCAACUACUCAAGCUUGGUGCUUCCCUGCCCAUUAUUCCUCUAAAACUAGAGCAAACAUGGGAGUGCCACCAGCAGCACCAGUGUUUCUGAAGUGGAGGACUGGGCUUCUCAGAGCACUGCUGUUUCCUUAAAGGAGCUCAUAUGCUUGCAAAAAAUAGCAGUUACAGCAGGCUCCUGGCGGGACCUGUGGCCCUGUGGAGAGAGAAGGCCAUGCUGGAGAAGGGGGAGAGUGUGAGGAGUCCUCUGAGCAGAGAAGGAAGGAGUGACAGGCCCCCUUCAUGUACAGGAAGGCUGCUCUGAGGUCUCCAUGGAGCCUUCUCUUCUCAGGGUGGAACACCUGUGAGUCUCUUGGCCUGUCUUCAUGGGACUGCUCCAGCCCUCUGAGUACCUUCAUGACCCUCCUCAGGACUUGCAUCACAUGUUUCUUAUGUUGGGGUUUUUCCAAUUACUUUCUCCUGUACACUUGCAGUAACAGAUGACUUUUUGAAACAGUCCUAUUAAAAUGAAAACAGAGGGUAUAUUUCUACCCACAAACUUGUUGACAAACUUUAUUUUAUCAGAUGAAAUAUAAAUGGAAGUAACUUUACUAAUGUGCUUUUACCAAGCUGUCUUCUUAGUUUGAUAUGUUAUUGUCCAUUUCUUUUGAUUUCUCAUAUUUAGAACUGAUUUCUCACAUUAGGAUUUUUCCUGUAGCGUUUUUAUCCCUGACAUAUUGUAAAGUGAUGGAUAAUUUAAAAUGCUUCCUUACCACCUCCUAAGUUCGAGAGAGCUCGAGUAGAUCAUUCCUGUAGAUGAUGUACAGCGGGAUGUUUUGAUAAAUAAAGCAAGGGCUUCAGCAGGGCCAGAUGAUUUCCUCCCGGAGCUCCAAGGGCGGUCUCCGGCCGGGAGAGCCGGGAGGUGGCAGCCUCGGCUCGGCAGAGCCGCCUCGG